CUCAGUAGUGGGGCGGAAAUGGGUUGAUCAUGACUCUGAAGUAGCAAUGUAGAACUAACCAAUGUCAAAUUAGCUCGGUGUGUAUC